rnacentral:rRNA from 1 species
UACAGAGGUCUCAAGCGUUGUUCGGAUUCAUUGGGCGUAAAGGGUGCGUAGGCGGCGCGGUAAGUCGGGUGUGAAAUCUCGGAGCUUAACUCCGAAACUGCAUUCGAUACUGCCGUGCUUGAGGACUGGAGAGGAGACUGGAAUUUACGGUGUAGCGGUGAAAUGCGUAGAUAUCGUUUGGAACGCCAAUGGUGAAAACAGGUAGCUGGGAGUGUGCCGACGCUGAGACACGAAAGCCAGGGGAGCGAACGGG